rnacentral:lncRNA from 1 species
GUUUGGUCACCUGACCAAACUUAACCACAAGGAAUGCUGGGAAAUGUAGUGUAACUGGGCAGCCAUAUUUGCCCAGCUACAAUUCUAUUAUUAUGGAACAAAGGGAGAACAGAUUUGGUUGCUCACCAGCAGUCUUCUCCAUACCUUGCGUCAUGGAUAAGGCCCAGAAGUUCCUGCAUGCAUUUAAAGGGGUCUUUGACCGCAGCUGUUUGAGAUCCGUGGUUUGCCAUCAGGCACCAUAAGAAGGGAUGAAGUGACUUUCACAGCAGAGGAUAAGGGUGGAUCACCGACACCCAGAGAGGUCUAUAGAGUCAGUGAGAGCUGAGAUGAGGCCAGCCCAGCCAAAGAACACCAUUGUUCCUGACCAAGCUGAGAGAGACUAGACCACAGGUUAAACCAGCUGCCAAUGUCAACUGCAGAGGCCAGCCAGGUGGGCAGCAACAGGACCGCCAAGGAGCACCACAAAAAACAGAGGACACGACAUAGCUCUGAGGACCCACCACUCCACUGCCUUAAGCCCACAGAUGUAAAAAUAAUAAAACCUGAUGAUCAGACGCUGCACGGUGACGCAAACCUCUUGAGUUCACUGAUCAUGUGCCUGGUGACUUCAUCCCUAGACAGGGGCUUUUCCUGCCUGGAGUUGCCGCAGACGAGACUGGCCUCGGAGGAUACCUGCCUGUUUGUAGGGAGCGAUUAAGAUAUAGGAGCGGAG